CCUUCCUUCCUUCCUUCCUUCCUUCCUUCCUUCCACCCUUCCUUCCUUCCUUCCUUCCUUCCUUCCUUCCUUCCUUCCUUCCUUCCUUCCUUCCUUCCUUCCUUCCUUCCUUCCUUCCUUCCUUCCUUCCCAAAUUUUUCCCCCCCCAAAUUCCCCUCCAGCUCUCCUGGAGCCCCUUUGGAAUCUCCCCGUGCUCUCCCUGGAGCCUCUGGGAAAGGACACUUCAGCUCCACUGCCUCAUCCCCACAGGGAUCUCCUGCCCAAUUCCAAGAGGAGCUCCUACAACCAACCCCUUCCCGCUUUUUUUUUCCCCCCUCCUUCCCAAGUGGGACGACGAGACGGACAUGGGGCAGCUGGAGGAGCGCGUGCGCUCCAUCCGCAUGGACGGGCUGCUCUGGGGGGCGUCCAAGCUCGUGCCCGUGGGCUACGGCAUCCGCAAACUGCAGAUCCAGUGCGUGCUGGAGGACGAGAAAGUGGGCACGGACAGCCUGGAGGAGGAGAUCACCAAGUUCGAGGACUACGUGCAGAGCGUGGACAUCGCUGCUUUCAACAAGAUUUAAAGUGGGAAAAAAUGGAUCCCUUUUUUUUUUUUUUCCCCACUCCCCGGAGCGGGAACACAAUAAAAGCUGCAGAUCGGAAUUCCCCGUGGA